UUGACCUCGGAUCAGGUAGGGAUACCCGCUGAACUUAAGCAUAUCAAUAAGCGGAGGAAAAGAAACCAACAGGGAUUGCCUUAGUAACGGCGAGUGAAGC
rnacentral:rRNA from 1 species